rnacentral:rRNA from 1 species
AGAGUUUGAUUCUGGCUCAGGAUGAACGCUGGCGGCGUGCCUAACACAUGCAAGUCGAGCGAUUCUCUUCGGAGAAGAGCGGCGGACGGGUGAGUAACGCGUGGGUAACCUGCCCUAUACACACGGAUAACGUACCGAAAGGUACGCUAAUACGAGAUAAUAUGCUUUAGUCGCAUGGCUGAAGUAUCAAAGCUCCGGCGGUAUAGGAUGGACCCGCGUCUGAUUAGCUAGUUGGUAAGGUAAUGGCUUACCAAGGCGACGAUCAGUAGCCGACCUGAGAGGGUGAUCGGCCACAUUGGAACUGAGACACGGUCCAAACUCCUACGGGAGGCAGCAGUGGGGAAUAUUGCACAAUGGGCGAAAGCCUGAUGCAAGCAACGCCGCGUGAGCGAUGAAGGCCUUCGGGUCGUAAAGCUCUGUCCUCAAGGAAGAUAAUGACGGUACUUGAGGAGGAAGCCCCGGCUAACUACGUGCCAGCAGCCGC